GGUGGUUGAGGAUGAGCAUGCGCAUGAUUAGUUAGUUGGCGGGGUAACGGCCCACCAAGACGAUGAUCAUUAGGGGAACUGAGAGGUUGAUCCCCCACACUGGCACUGAGAUACGGGCCAGACUCCUACGGGAGGCAGCAGUAGGGAAUAUUGGACAAUGGGUGCGAGCCUGAUCCAGCCAUGCCGCGUGCAGGAAGACGGCCUUCUGGGUUGUAAACUGCUUUUGCCAGGGGAUAAAACGGCUCUGCGGAGCUAAUUGAAGGUACCUGGUGAAUAAGCCACGGCUAACUACGUGCCAGCAGCCGCGGUAAUACGUAGGUGGCAAGCGUUGUCCGGAUUUAUUGGGUUUAAAGGGUGCGUAGGUUGUUCCAUAAGUCAGUGGUGAAAUACGGCAGCUUAACUGUCGAGGUGCCAUUGAUACUGCGGAACUUGAGUACAGACGAGGUAGGCGGAAUUGACGGUGUAGCGGUGAAAUGCUUAGAUAUCGUCAAGAACACCGAUAGCGAAGGCAGCUUACUAGACUGUAACUGACACUGAGGCACGAAAGUGUGGGGAUCAAACAGGAUUAGAU
rnacentral:rRNA from 1 species